CAUGUAGUUGGGUUGCCAGCUUGACUGUGUGCGGGGGCUUUGGCUCUUUGCCACCAGUGAGGUGCGAGGAAGGGGAGGGAGAGCCACAAGGAACAUCUGGAGAAGCCGAGCCAGGGAAGGGCACACAGCCCCCUGCACAGGGUCCAGGGGUCCUGGGGCUGCGGUGGGCGUGGCCACCAAGAGAGCGGCUCCAGGCCAGGCUUGUUCUGUCGGUGACUGAAGGGUCUUUAAGGCAUUCUUCUGCCUUCAGCUACGGGAAGCAGCAGGUGUCCCAUUCUGGCUCCCGACCCGCCUGGCCAUGCUGCAGUCCCUUUCUGCCCUGGAUGAUCACACCGCCGUCUUCCUGUUCAGCACGCCUCUCUCCUGGCAUCUGCCUCCCACUGCUGUGGCUGAAUCAGGGCCUGCUCCUCCCUGCUUGCUUUGCUCUCCCCACCAAUGCCUGUGUGUAUUAGGAUGAACAUGUUGUAUUAUGCUAACUGC
rnacentral:lncRNA from 1 species